rnacentral:lncRNA from 13 species
AUGCAUUAUGAGCUCCACUUCCUGUUUCUCAGGCCUGAGAGGAAGGAACAGGGCGCUUGUCACACGAUAUUCAUGGCUUCCUACCAGAAGGACAGUCGACUACACCUUGAACAUCGCAGCAGGAUGUGCAUGGUUAUUUUUAGUGUCGGAAAGGCCUGGGUGGUUGUGGCUCCACAAGUGAACACUUCUCUGCCGUUAGGUGUGAUGACUGGCAUAAGGUGUCAGCGAGAGCUUUGCUGUUGGCAGCCAUCAUCUCUCCCCUGGGUGUCUGUGGUUUUGCCUGAGUAGCAGAGUCAGUCAGAGGGUCAAACACAUCAAUCAUCAGGUUCUACAGUAUUUCACACCUUCCAUCUGCUUGUAUAAUACAUUACUCUGUUAUCAUAAGAUCCCUUUCAUUCAUCCUACAUAUAUAGUCCCUCUUUUGCUCCCCUUUUCGCUCUCUCUAGAGUUACACGAUUAGCUCCCAUUGUGCAGCACUGGUCAUAUUCA